AUGGUGCAGGAAAUCCCCAGGGAAGGGAAGCUGCUAUUUCCUGAAGGAGCCCUCUUCAGCUUGUUGGGUAGGAUCUUCAAAUGGCCACUGCUUCUCAGGGAAUUGCUGCAGCUCUCCACAGGCUCCAAAGCACAGUCAAGGCUGAGUCAGGAAGCCACCAUGUCUGCUUCUGUUGGACAAGAAGUCACUCUUGUCUGUACUGGAAGUGGUGGAAAUAUUGGAGCAUAUGAUGCAUCCUGGCACAAAGAAAUACCGGGGGAUGUCCCCAAAUUUGUGACAAUUGGCUAUUCCCGACCUUUUGGCAAUACGUAUUCCCUGACUAUGACUGACCUUCAGCCUGAGGAUGAGGCCAGUUAUUACUGUUCAACAUGGGAAUAUGGCACAAAUGCUCACACU